rnacentral:rRNA from 1 species
UACGGGGGGGGUAAGCGUUGUUCGGAAUUACUGGGCGUAAAGGGCUCGUAGGCGGCCAACUAAGUCAGACGUGAAAUCCCUCAGCUUAACUGGGGAACUGCGUCUGAUACUGGAUGGCUUGGAUUCGGGAGAGGAAUGCGGAAUUCCAGGUGUAGCGGUGAAAUGCGUAGAUAUCGUGGAGAACACCCGUGGCGAAGGCGGGCUUCUGGUUGACAUCUGACGCUGAGGUGCGAAAGCUAGGGGAGCGAACGGG